AUUAGCUAAAUCAAGGUUAGUGCCAAUUAAUCUUAAUUACUUUGUGUAUACAUCAUGGAGAAUAUGAAUUGAGUAUGAAAUUAAGCUAAUUUAAAUAAAUUUUGCGAGGUUGAAUUUCACCAAAUUUUGGCAUCCUUAGGGUACAUUAGGGUUUCUUUUAAUUUGAAUGAAUUAUAGUUGUACAUGGCUGCCAUUGAACAUGAACUUGAUGCCUUAACUCAUUGAUUGCAUAUAUAUGAAGCAUUGAAGUUGUUGGAGUUAGGGUUUGGGGGAAAACUUGGGACUUUGCUCAUGUGUUGGUGAGUGAAAGUUCUUAUGGUCAAUUAGUGACCAUUUGACUAAGUAUAAUGAGGAAUUGAAGUGAA
rnacentral:misc_RNA from 1 species